UUAGGUCGAUUUUAAAAACACAAAUCAGUUCUGGUUAGGUAAUAACGAAGAGUGAUAAUAAGAAGUUAAAUAAAAAUGGACCAAUCAAACUGAAUCAUCUGACAGCGCCGGUCGUCUCUUCUUGUCUCCUCUCUUUCUGGCGGCUCGAACGCCAAAGGCAAAGGAGCUUAAUCUCCGUUCGUUACCAUACCUUUACAGAGCGUCUCCUCAGUAAUCGGAGAUGGCGGAUAAGCCGGCGCAGGAGCAGAAGCCAGCAAUGGAACCGGCGGUUCUUGACGAUAUCAUCCGCCGUUUGGUGGAGUUUCGGAACACGAGGCCUGGAUCCGGGAAGCAAGUUCACCUCAGCGAAGGUGAAAUCCGUCAGCUCUGUGCUGUCUCCAAAGAAAUCUUUCUUCAACAACCUAAUCUCCUCGAACUCGAAGCUCCCAUCAAGAUCUGCGGUGAUAUUCAUGGGCAGUAUUCAGAUCUAUUGAGGCUAUUUGAGUAUGGAGGCUUCCCUCCAGAAGCCAAUUAUUUGUUCUUAGGUGAUUACGUCGACCGUGGCAAGCAAAGCUUGGAAACAAUAUGCCUUCUCUUAGCUUACAAAAUCAAGUACCCUGAGAACUUCUUCUUGCUUAGAGGGAACCAUGAAUCUGCUUCCAUCAAUCGUAUCUACGGGUUCUAUGACGAGUGCAAACGCAGGUUCAACGUCAGGCUCUGGAAGAUAUUCACCGAUUGCUUUAACUGUCUUCCUGUGGCCGCUUUGAUCGAUGACAGGAUACUAUGUAUGCAUGGUGGGAUCUCCCCAGAGUUGACGAGCUUGGACCAGAUCAGGAACAUUUCACGCCCGAUGGAUAUCCCUGAAUCAGGUUUGGUGUGUGAUUUGCUUUGGUCGGAUCCUAGUGGAGACGUCAAAGGAUGGGGAGUGAAUGAUCGUGGUGUUUCAUACACUUUUGGAGCUGACACUGUUGCAGAGUUCUUGCAAAAAAAUGACAUGGACCUUAUCUGCCGUGCCCACCAGGUUGUUGAAGAUGGGUAUGAGUUCUUUGCAGACAGACAGCUUGUUACUGUGUUUUCAGCUCCCAACUAUUGUGGAGAGUUUGACAAUGCUGGCGCAAUGAUGAGCAUUGAUGAGAGCUUAAUGUGCUCGUUCCAAAUACUUAAGCCGUCGGAUAAGAGAUCAUCACCAUUUCUAUGACAGCAAUCAUCUAGUUACCUCCAUGCUUCAUAUUAACAAUACUCCAAAAGCUGUGUACACUAGAAAGAGAGGAUCUAGUGGCAGAAACUACUCAACUGUUACCUUGGUGGUUCUCCUGAUGAUGAACAUUUAAGCAAAAACACAGAGACUGUCUCCAACAGAGUAAAGAACUCAGGUCUCUGCUGUAAUUUUAGCUUCUAUCUCCAUGUUUGUCUAAAACGUGUAUGUUUUGUCUUCUUUCUGAAUAAUCUUAUUAGAUUCUCUCAUUUGUACCCUCUUAUUUAUUUAUGAAGCGCCAAGGCCAAAACUUUUCUAGAGUC